rnacentral:rRNA from 1 species
UGAUCCUGGCUCAGAUUGAACGCUGGCGGCAGGCCUAACACAUGCAAGUCGAACGGUAACAUUUCUAGCUUGCUAGAAGAUGACGAGUGGCGGACGGGUGAGUAAUACUUAGGAACAUGCCUUUGGGUGGGGGAUAACCAUUGGAAACGAUGGCUAAUACCGCAUAACGUCUACGGACCAAAGGGGGCUUCGGCUCCCGCCUAAAGAGUGGCCUAAGCGAGAUUAGCUUGUUGGUGAGGUAAAAGCUCACCAAGGCGACGAUCUCUAGCUGUUCUGAGAGGAAGAUCAGCCACACGGGGACUGAGACACGGCCCAGACUCCUACGGGAGGCAGCAGUGGGGAAUAUUGCACAAUGGGGGAAACCCUGAUGCAGCCAUGCCGCGUGUGUGAAGAAGGCCUUCGGGUUGUAAAGCACUUUCAGUUGUGAGGAAAAGUUGAUGGUUAAUACCCAUCAGCCGUGACGUUAACAACAGAAGAAGCACCGGCUAACUCCGUGCCAGCAGCCGCGGUAAUACGGAGGGUGCGAGCGUUAAUCGGAAUUACUGGGCGUAAAGCGCACGCAGGCGGUUUGUUAAGCUAGAUGUGAAAGCCCCGCGCUCAACGUGGGAGGGUCAUUUAGAACUGGCAGACUAGAGUCUUGGAGAGGGGAGUGGAAUUCCAGGUGUAGCGGUGAAAUGCGUAGAGAUCUGGAGGAACAUCAGUGGCGAAGGCGACUCCCUGGCCAAAGACCGACGCUCAUGUGCGAAAGUGUGGGUAGCGAACAGGAUUAGAUACCCUGGUAGU